GACAGAGGGGGCAAGCGUUGCUCGGAAUCACUGGGCGUAAAGGGCGCGUAGGCGGGAUGGCAAGUCGGUCGUGAAAUCCUUCGGCUCAACCGAAGAACGUCGGCCGAUACUGCCGUUCUUGAGGGAUGCAGAGGAGAUUGGAAUUCCCGGUGUAGCGGUGAAAUGUGUAGAGAUCGGGAGGAACACCGGUGGCGAAGGCGGGUCUCUGGGCCGAUACUGACGCUGGAGGAGCGAAAGCGUGGGGAGCGAACAGG
rnacentral:rRNA from 1 species